rnacentral:rRNA from 1 species
AUGUUCCCUACGGUUCACCACAGGUUUUGGAAUCAUAUGUGCCUAGUACAGGUUUGGGGAUCCUGCUGCCAAUCGAUCACUCGUGCAACAAUUCAGCACACGGCAUGGCUGAGGACUAAUUCAGCACACGGCAUGGCUGAAGAUACAACAGACUUGUCAUUUUCUUUACAUAAGAAUAUCUCAUGUCCUACUUGUAAUCUAAUUGUCUAUCUUGUCAAGAUUUUCUCAUUUCACCUGGGACCUGAUACAUGUGAAGCUAGAGGUGGAACCGAUGAGACCACAUUUCCAGCAGCGCCGAAAUACACUUGA